UACGUAGGUGACCAGCGUUGUCCGGAUUACUGGGCGUAAAGAGCGCGCAGGCGGUCGUUCAAGUCGAGUGUGAAAGCCCCCGGCUCAACUGGGGAGGGUCAUUCGAUACUGAUCGACUUGAAGGCAGGAGAGGGAAGCGGAAUUCCCGGUGUAGUGGUGAAAUGCGUAGAUAUCGGGAGGAACACCAGUGGCGAAGGCGGCUUCCUGGCCUGUUCUUGACGCUGAGGCACGAAAGCGUGGGGAG
rnacentral:rRNA from 1 species